rnacentral:rRNA from 1 species
AGGACGAACGCUGGCGGCGCGCUUAAUACAUGCAAGUCGAACGGUGAAGCCCUUCGGGGUGGGAUCAGUGGCGAACGGGUGAGUAACACGUGGGUAAUCUGCCCUGCAUUCUGGGACAAGCCUUGGAAACGAGGUCUAAUACCGGAUACGACGCAUCUCCGCAUGGGGUGUGCGUGGAAAGCUCUGGCGAUGCAGGAUGAACCCGCGGCCUAUCAGCUUGUUGGUGGGGUGAUGGCCUACCAAGGCGACGACGGGUAGCCGGCCUGAGAGGGCGACCGGCCACACUGGGACUGAGACACGGCCCAGACUCCUACGGGAGGCAGCAGUGGGGAAUAUUGCACAAUGGGCGAAAGCCUGAUGCAGCGACGCCGCGUGAGGGAUGACGGCCUUCGGGUUGUAACCGUCUUUCAGCAGGGAAGAAGCGCAAGUGACGGUACCUGCAGAAGAAGCGACCGGCUAACUACGUGCCAGCAGCCGCGGUAA